UACGUAGGGCGCAAGCGUUGUCCGGAAUUAUUGGGCGUAAAGAGCUCGUAGGCGGUUUGUCGCGUCUGCUGUGAAAACCUAAGGCUCAACCUUGGGCUUGCAGUGGGUACGGGCAGACUAGAGUGCGGUAGGGGUGACUGGAAUUCCUGGUGUAGCGGUGGAAUGCGCAGAUAUCAGGAGGAACACCGGUGGCGAAGGCGGCUCUCUGGGCUCGUAU
rnacentral:rRNA from 1 species